rnacentral:rRNA from 1 species
AUUGCCCUAGUAACGGCGAGUGAAGCGGCAACAGCUCAAAUUUGAAAUCUGGCCCUCGGGUCCGAGUUGUAAUUUGUAGAGGAUGCUUUUGGCGCGGUGCCUUCCGAGUUCCCUGGAACGGGACGCCAUAGAGGGUGAGAGCCCCGUCUGGUUGGACACCAAGCCUCUGUAAAGCUCCUUCGACGAGUCGAGUAGUUUGGGAAUGCUGCUCUAAAUGGGAGGUAUAUGUCUUCUAAAGCUAAAUACCGGCCAGAGACCGAUAGCGCACAAGUAGAGUGAUCGAAAGAUGAAAAGCACUUUGAAAAGAGAGUUAAAUAGCACGUGAAAUUGUUGAAAGGGAAGCGCUUAUGACCAGACUUGGGCUUGGUUGAUCAUCCCGCGUUCUCGCGGGUGCACUCUUCCGGCUCAGGCCAGCAUCAGUUCGUCGCGGGGGAUAAAGGCGUCGGGAACGUGGCUCCCUCGGGAGUGUUAUAGCCCUUCGUGCAAUACCCUGCUUCGGACUGAGGACCGCGCUUCGGCAAGGAUGCUGGCGUAAUGGUCAUCAGCGACCCGUCUUGAAACACGGACCAAGGAGUCGUCUUCGUAUGCGAGUGUUCGGGUGUCAAACCCCUACGCGUAAUGAAAGUGAACGCAGGUGAGAGCUUCGGCGCAUCAUCGACCGAUCCUGAUGUUCUCGGAUGGAUUUGAGUAAGAGCAUACGGGGCCGGACCCGAAAGAAGGUGAACUAUGCCUGUAUAGGGUGAAGCCAGAGGAAACUCUGGUGGAGGCUCGCAGCGGUUCUGACGUGCAAAUCGAUCGUCAAAUAUGGGCAUGGGGGCGAAAGACUAAU